rnacentral:rRNA from 1 species
AGUAGGUGGGUGCUGGGGUUGGGGGGAAUAUGUAGGAUUCGAGCGGGAGUUGGGAUUACGUGGCGUGAAGCGUGUGCAGGCGGUUUUGUAAGAAAGAGGUGAAAGCGCCGGGCGCAAACUGGGAACUGCCUUUGGGACUGCAAUGCUGAAGUACGGCAGAGGGUGAUGGAAUUCCGCGUGUAGCAGUGAAAUGCGUAGAUAUGCGGAGGAACACCGAUGGCGAAGGCAAUCCCCUGGGCCUGUACUGACGCUCAUGCACGAAAGCGUGGGGAGCAAACAGGAUUAGAUACCCGUGUAGUC